rnacentral:lncRNA from 1 species
AUAACGCAAAUUGUGUCUAAAAGAGAACCAGAAUAAUUGGUAACUUCUUCAAAUAGAUUUACAUUACUCAAACAAAAAGAGAGGGGCCAUGCAAUUGCAAACUUGUCGCUAUAGGAGGUUUUCCUCUACUUUUUUAAGCUCGGGAGCCGGCCGUAUGAGCUUUAUAGAGUGCUUGUGCAUGUUAACUGACUCAAUUUCACAUUAUUCUUACAAAUUGUGGACCCAUCUAUCAUCCUUCAUUAUUUAAGAUAACAUGGCCAUCAAUCUGAAGUGGUCCAUGAUGGGCCACACUUUUGCUUGAUUAGAAAGCCCAUCAGCCCCUCCGGAA